UACGUAGGGUGCGAGCGUUGUCCGGAAUUACUGGGCGUAAAGCGUGCGCAGGCGGCUAUUUAAGCUUGCUGUGAAAGCCCCGGGCUUAACCUGGGAACUGCAGUGAGGACUGGAUGGCUGGAGUGUGGCAGAGGGGGGUGGAAUUCCACGUGUAGCAGUGAAAUGCGUAGAGAUGUGGAGGAACACCGAUGGCGAAGGCAGCCCCCUGGGCUAACACUGACGCUCAGGCACGAAAGCGUGGGGAGCAAACAGG
rnacentral:rRNA from 1 species